CUGCUCUUCUUUUUGUGGGUUGCUACAAAUUUGAGUUUAGUGAUCAGGGAUGGAGAGUACUUUGAAAGAGAUCGGCGAUGGCGGUUCAGUGUUGGACUUGGACCCGAAAGCAACCGUUGGCGGUGGUGUUGAGGAUAUCUAUGGAGAAGACUGUGCUACAGAGGAGCAGCUCGUUACUCCAUGGACUUUCUCAGUUGCGAGUGGCUAUUCGUUGUUGAGGGAUCCCCACCAUAACAAGGGGUUGG
rnacentral:misc_RNA from 1 species